GACGAACGCUGGCGGCGUGCCUAAUACAUGCAAGUCGAACGCAUUUUCUUUCACCGUAGCUUGCUACACCGAAAGAAAAUGAGUGGCGAACGGGUGAGUAACACGUGGGUAACCUGCCCAUCAGCGGGGGAUAACACUUGGAAACAGGUGCUAAUACCGCAUAAUUCCAUUUACCGCAUGGUAGAUGGAUGAAAGGCGCUUUUGCGUCACUGAUGGAUGGACCCGCGGUGCAUUAGCUAGUUGGUGGGGUAACGGCCUACCAAGGCUGCGAUGCAUAGCCGACCGGAGAGGGUGAUCGGCCACACUGGGACUGAGACACGGCCCAGACUCCUACGGGAGGCAGCAGUAGGGAAUCUUCGGCAAUGGACGCAAGUCUGACCGAGCAACGCCGCGUGAGUGAAGAAGGUUUUCGGAUCGUAAAACUCUGUUGUUAGAGAAGAACAAGGAUGAGAGUGGAAAGUUCAUCCCUUGACGGUAUCUAACCAGAAAGCCACGGCUAACUACGUG
rnacentral:rRNA from 1 species